CUCCUGGAGAAGGUAAUGGCAACCCACUCCACUAUUCUUGCCUGGAGAAUCCCAUGGACAGAGGUGCCUGGCAGGCUACAGUCCAUGGGGUUGCAGAGUCAGACAUGAGCAGCUAACACUUUAGCUUUCAAUAGGAGCUAUAAUUUGAGUGCUUCUUGCCAGAUGCCUUACUUAAAUUAUUUGUAUCUUUUAGGCAGCCCUAAAACAAAGUAGGCAUUGCUGUCCUAUUUUAUGAGAAGAAAGGUGUCAAGACUAGUAAUUCAAACUUCACAGCAUUUAUGGUGGUGUCGAGCUUGUCUGAUUCCAUGUGUUCAUUCCCUCAUAAUAUUUUUUAUAGGAAUGUUGUGAGGAUCAAAGAAAAUCAAUGGGGAAAAGAAAGCCUAGUUACAACUAAUGAGCAUACUAGUACUAAUUGAGGCAAAAAAUAAGGAUGCAAAGUUGUCUCAUAGACUCCCAAAGCAGGAUGAAAUUGGAUCCAGGAACUAGAAAGCCAUUUUGGACUCCUAAAACUGGCAUUGUCUGUAUAGUCUACAUCAUUCUAAAGGCUUCUGCUUUUCCUCUCUACUACCACCAUAGCUCUAGGUGUGAGAUGUUAACUGUCCCAGACAUGUGUAUAGAAAACCCAACAGACCCUUGGGACAUUAUGAUUGGUACAAAUGUGACUUGGGGGGGCUUACCCCUGUGGAUAAAGAAGCAGAUCUUAGAGAUAAUGUUUUGCUGGCUGUACAUCACAAGUGUCCUCAACACCACCAAAAUGCCCUGAAAGUUUUCUUUUUAAAUAAACGUAGAGAGUUUGUAUAUGAUAGAUACUCAUGUCUAACUUAUUUCAUGUUUACUAAGUGCUUCAUGUCCGUGUUUCUGAAACUCCAAAUCAUACAAGAUAGUCACCACCUCCAUUUUAUAAAUAAGAAGAUAGAAGCUCAAAGAAGGUGGGUUCUCUCUCAGGCCGUCUGUCUGUAAGUGGCCGAAUGAAGAUUGAAACCUGAGUUCCUUAAGUCAGCGCCCACAGUAUUGGGAACUAACUGUUUUACCACGGUGAACAAAGCAGUCUGUCUGAAGCACUUAAUCCUGAUUCUAUGUAGAGAUUCCAUGGGUUGCUCAAAGUCACCUAGCUAGUUAAUAGCAGGACUGCAGGCACAUUUUGACUACUAAAUUCAUUUCAUCACUCUAGCUGCUUCCCAAACAACUUUGCCAAAAGUAGUUGCUAAAUUUAUAGACUAGUUAAGGGACUUCCAACCUCAGGAGACUCAAUGACCAAUUCUUUUUGACUUCUCUAUUCAAAACAUGUCUUUUUGUUGUUAACCUCAGAUACUCUGAGAAGGACUCAAAGUAUGCCUUUUUCUCUCAUUUCAGAGCCACCCUGGCAUUUUAAUGAGAAUUUAAAAGCGAGCCUCUUAUUUCCCAACCCUCUCCAGAAAGCACAUCUCUUACCUAUUUUGAGCUGAUGUUGUGGCUUCUUAUGCACAAAGUAACAUUUCCUGAUUUGAUGUCUUGUUUAGCACCAGUAUAUCCUUCCUCAGGAUUCCACCUAUCUAAAAGUUUGGUAUUUACUUUUCAAGCUGCCUGCUUUUGGCCAUGAAAUAUUCAAGUUUCUUUCAGAGUGGGAAUUUGAAAGGUGAUUAUAGAGAAUUCUCUAUGGUAGAUAGUUGAUUGUCUGGAAAGCUGUCUAGGCUGAAAACUUACUUCUAUAGAUUUUAGAUUUCGUUCUGAUGGUUAAAAUUGUUUUUUGUAUGCUUAACACCAAAGCAGUGCCCGAGAAACUACUUCAGUGCAUGUCCAAUGACAAUUUCUUAGAAUUGUGAAUCAGGAUCUGAUUCUCUGGAAUCAGUUGGCCAAAUGGGGUUCCUAAGGAAUGAGGAAGAAAACACACGGUCUCAAGUUUUCUGAGGAACUCUAUCUGAAAACAUCACUACUUCCUGAGUUUCCUGACUUCCUCUUGUAGGAGACUCCUCUGUGUACUCCCACCUGUGUAGGUCACGUCCUUUUCUCAGGGAGUGCCGCAUAAAAUGAUUACCAGAAUUUAGGAAUGAUUACCUCUUGUAGAUCUACUCGGCAGUAAACAUUCUAAUAGAAUGCUUUACAGUUGUAAGUUCUUGCACCUGCUCUCGAGUCAUUUAUAACCUAACCAACUGGUCUUCCUGAUAUGAACAGAGUUGUUUGCUUGUUAAUAAAUUCCUACCGUAUGAUCCUGACUUGUGGUUUGUUUCUCCAUAACUAGGGCAAAUACUAAAGUGUUUUCUAACAAAGGAGGAAGCAUCAUCUGCAUCUCUACCUGCUUUGAAUAGGAAAUAAAUUUGUAUCCCC
ensembl:lncRNA